CUGGCUCAGGAUGAACGCUGGCGGCGUGCUUAACACAUGCAAGUCGAACGAAGCAAUUUUCUACGA
rnacentral:rRNA from 1 species